AUGUCUGAGAAUUUAAGCAGUGAUGAAGAAUGGUGUGUCUACAACCACAACACACACAGGAACACAAAAUGUUGGGAAUGUGGCAAAACGUUCAGCAAACUUGAGACCCUGAUGUCUCAUUACAGAAGCCAUAACAUCCUAGCCACCUGCCACAUCUGCAAUCUUGUUUUCCGGCGCCAGACAUCGCUGUCCACACACCUGGAUAAUGCACACUCUCCGGCCCUGUGCAAAAAGUGCCAUCAGUCGUUCAGCAACGUGUGGGAGUUGAACAAGCAUGCAGAGACACAGUGCUUCAAAACAGAGUCAUUUCAAGAAGCCUCCACUUUGACGUCUACAAUUAUACACGAGAGUCACAACAGCACCAAUUCUUCUGGUGAGGUAACUACACUCCACAGCUCAGUCUCAGGACAGCCUGGCUCGAUGUCAGAGAUGAGGUCACAACAAAAAACUGAGAGGACCUCAAAGAAAUUAGAAUCAUCUGAAAACUCUGUAGAGUUCACAGUGGGAGAGGAUGAUACAGACUUUGACAGUGACUCUGAAGCAUCAGAUGAGUCUGAAACCUCAGACUCUGACAAUUAUGCCAAUGCACCCUCUAAACUUCCUAAGUUAUCCCCAGUUCAUUCGGAAUCUGACAGUGAUUCCAGUACGACAGAUUGUUCAAGUGACUCUUCAAAUAGCGUGGGCACUCAUUCUAAUGUCAAUUUGUCACUAUGUGCUGUGUGUGGUAGAGGGCCAUUUAAGUCACUGAAGCUCCAUAUGUUGCACUGUAGCGGUGUAAAAGUCAAAUAUCAGUGCUUACACUGCAAGAAAGUCUUUCUAACUGAGGCAUCUUUCAAAGAGCACUACAUGCUUUUAUAUUCUUGUAACAUUUGCAACCAAGUUUUCUCUCACGAGUACUUGUACAACUGCCACCAGUGUCCCAAGGACGGCAAAUCACCUUUGGUCCUUUUUUGCUCAGAGACUAUGCCCAAAGUAUGUAACAUAUGCAAAUCCUUUUAUACCUGUGAGAAAGCUUUGUUAAAUCAUGUCACCAGAGCUCACACAUCCGUGGUUAGCACAAAGGUUUGCAUUGUUUCUAAACAGUCAGGUUUGAAAGAGCAAAAUGUUUCAUGUGGAACAGUCCAGUCAGUUACGAGAAGUCCAAACCUAGGCAGUCAGGUGUUUAAUGGAAAGCGUCACGUUAGCCAAACCUAUGCAGGGUCUAGCCCUUCACCUCUGUUGGCACCCUCUUCCAACCCAGGCAGUAGCUCUGGUGUCAUACACCUGGAAUCUAUCAAACCAGGUCUAUCAAAAAAUCAGCCUCUUAGAAAUCCAUCUACUCACUUAUUAAACCCUCCUGGUGCUGUUGAAAAGGUUUCUACCACUACAUCCUCUAAGACGGUCUCCCCGCCUAUGCCCACUAUAAUGGCCAUGUUUGAGAAUGGCAGUCAUGCGUUGGCUUUGAUGAAGCGUAUGAACACUGGCUGGCGCUUCAAGGCCCAGUAUCCUUGCAGACAGUGCGGUGCUAUCUUCCGACAACCCUCCCUCAUCAUCAGCCACCGCUACCUCCACAGAGGCCGCCGCUCGCACCACUGCCAGUGCGGCCGAGCCUUUAAGCACAGGCUGCAUCUCCUACGACACUGUGUUCAACACGCGGAGGCCGUAAGCUACAUCUGCGUCAGCUGUGGAGACACGUUCACAGGAGCACGGCUUUUGGCUGAGCACAUUCAGGGCAAUUCACGGAAAAGAUCCAGCUCUGGAAGUACGUGGAAGGAUAAAGUAAAGCCGGGGUGUGCAGUGCCCUUUACAUGUGACUGUGGACAACUAUUUUUUAGACCCUCUGCUUACAUAUGGCACCAGCUUAAAAACCUGAAAAAAUAA
rnacentral:lncRNA from 1 species